rnacentral:lncRNA from 1 species
ACCCUAUUCCCAUCCCUGUUCUUGUCCCCCUGUCCCCAGCCCCUUGUCCCCAGCCCCACAUCUCCUGCCCCACAUCUCCUGCCCCACAUCGCCCUCCCUAACCCCAUCCCUAACCCUAACCCCAUAGCCCCGUCCCCAUAGCCCCAGCCCUGCCCCCAGCCCCUGCCCCAGCCCCCCCACUGGGGUCAGGGUCCGCCGGGGGCACCCACACGGGGCCGGCCCCACUGGGGCUGGGCUGGGGCGAAGAUCGGGGGCCGGGGGGGUCACAGGGGGGUCAGGGGGUUCACGGGGGGGGUCAUGGGGUUAAGGGGGGGUCAUGGGGUUAAGGGGUUCACUGGGGGCAGGAAUGGGGCUGGGGGGUGACGAGGGGCACGGCCCUGCCCUGGGGCCCCGAGGAGCAGCUCCCAGCCCUGCCCAGUUUGUCCCAGUUCACCCCCAGGGCUUCAGCCGUACCCAGUCCUCCCAGUCCUCCCAGUUCGCCCAGUUCACCCCCCCUCUCCCCCGGGGUGCAGCUCCCAGCCCUUCCCAUUUCACCCCACUUCUGCCCAGUUUCCCCCAGGGCUCCUUGUGCAGCAGUUUCUGGCCCUGCCCAGUUCACCCAGUUCACCCCAGCUCACCCCAGCUCACGUUGAGGUGCAGCACUCAGCCCAGUUUGUCCCAGUCCUUCCCAGUUCCACCUGGAUGUUGCUCCCUGCCCUGCCUGACUUCCCCCAGUUCUCCCAGUUCCCUCAUGGGUGCAGCUCCUGAGCCUUACCAGUCCACCCCAGUCCUCCCAGUUCACCCGCAGCUACAAUUCCCAGUUCUGCCCGUUCCAUCCCAGUCACAGCUCCCAGCCCUGACCAGUCUGUCCCAGUGCUCCCAGUUCAUUCCAGGUACAGCUUCCAGUCCUCCCAGUUACAGCUCCCAGCGCUCCCAGUUCAUCUCCCAGUGCUCCCAGUGCUCACCUGCGGUGCCGCUGUCGGUGUGGCCGCGGUGCCGGCGGUGGCCCCGACGUGUCCCGGGGGUGACGCA